rnacentral:lncRNA from 10 species
GCAGAAGGGACAAUGAAUUGUGACUCGGAAAUUAAUCAGAUGAGACCUGAUGACUGAAGUACAUCACAGAGCUAGGAAGAGAGAUUACUAAGCAACACGCCCUUUUUUUCAGACAUCUCAGUUGACAACCUGAGCAAUAGCUCUGACCUGGAAGCAUCCAGCUUUGUAGCCAAAGAGAAAAAGCGCAGACCUUUGUCCCAGAAUUCUCAUCAAAAGUGUCUUUCAUCUCAUUGGCCCUGUGUGAGUCAUGUGCCCACCCCUAAACCAAUCACCAUGGCCUCAGGAAUGCAUUGUGUUGAGUAGUUUAGGCUGGGGUCAGUUUUAUCCCCAUCCAAACAACAGAGCUGAAAUCCGAGGAGAAAUGAUUUCCCAAAGAAAAUUCCAAGGAUCAUUUAACAGAAGAAAUGUACAAGAUUCUGGGGACAGAACUACAGGCAUCCCCCAAGCUCCCAAGGCCUGUAACAAACUUCCACUGCCCUAGGACUCAGCCUCCUGAGGAACCACUUCUCUGUGUAAAUACUUAAACCCAUCCCAUGGCUGACACGCACGUGGCCCAUGGAAAAGUGGCUUCUGUAGGACACACCUCCUCCUUUUCCCAAAUGGACUUUGUUCUUAAAAUCCUUUAAUGAGGAGCAAGCAAGCAUCACUCAUCUAUCUGGAUGUGGACUCAGGGCCAGAGGCAUUUGAUGAUUUAUUAAUUGACCCACCAAAUCUAGUUCGUCCCCAUAGGCCAGUGCUAACAGGCCAUUUCAUUUAUUACUUGGCAAAGUUUGACCUCAUGAAGCAGAUCCCUUUUCAAUUACUUCUUACAGAAAAAUUUCCUUUGGCAAUUCAGUGCAAUGAACUUUUAUUAAGCACCAAGUAUGUGUCAUGGACUGCUGGGCUGGGUACAAAGAUGUGCUCACAACCCAGCAGAUGGAACAGGUCUGUGAAUGAAUGAGUGCAGUGCUGUUCAGACAAUGUUCUAUUCAUUUUCUAAGGCAGCCAUAAGAAAUUGCCACAAACUUGGUGGUUUCACACAAAAGAAAUUUAUUCACUCACACUUCUGGAGGCCAGAAGUCUGAAAUCAAGGCAUUGGCAGGGCUGGUUCCUUCUGGAAACUCUGAGGAACAAUCAGUUCCAUGCCUCUCUCCUAGCUUCUGGUUUCCAUCAGCAAUCCUUGGCGUUCCCUGAUUUGUAGACGGGUGGCUGCGAUCUCUCUAUCUCCAUCUCUGACUUCUGUCUCCGUCUUCACCUGGCCUUCCCCUCCGUGUCUGUUAAAUCUCCUUCUGCCUUUUCUCAUUGGAUCUUGGGCCUACCCUAAUCCAAGAUGAUUGAAACUCAAGAUCCUUAACUUAAUAUUAUCUACCAAGACCCCUUUUCACAAUAAGGUUGCAUUGACAGGUUCUGAGUGGGUGUGUCUUUUGGGAAUCCACCAUUUCACCCACAGCAGUUGCUUUGCAGGGUGUGGCGAUGCAUCAGAGGGGAGAGUGGAUUUCUGUCUUUAGAAGGUGACAGCAGUGGUGUCCUUACAGAGGAGAGCAUGUCUGAGCUCUUCACAAGGACAGAGGGGGUUAUCAGGAAGGAAAGGCAUUCCAGGAAAUAGCAGGUGUUAAGGCAGAGAGCAGAGAAGGAGCAGUCACCUUCAGGGAACAAACAGUCAUGUGGCAUGGCUGAAACAAGGGAGAGAGUGACCAAAGAAGAGGCUUGACAGGGAGGUGGGGGCCUGAGAGCCUCGGGAAGGAGUCUGGACUUGAGCCCAUGGGUAACACGGAGCUGUUACAGAGCCACUGCAGAAACAACAGGUUUGUCCUAUAUGAAUGAGUGCUUGGGUCUACUCAAAGGGUCUUAAGGAUUUUCAGCAUUUCCUUUGUAACCUUGGCAAAUAAUAGAUUGUGAGCAAUGUAAAAGCAAGAUUCACAUUUGAUUUACCUUUGUGUCUUGCACAAUUCCUAUGUCUAGCAUGUAGUCCUUGCUCAGUAAACAUGUUCUUUUUAAUGAAUGAACAGAAAAGAGCUGAAAAGGGUAAUUGCCAAGGGUUGAAGGCCUCGGGUUCUCACCUUUCAGAGGCAGUGUGGGACUCGAAUGCAGAACCUGUGGGCCUGAGACUCUCCAAAUCACAGUGCUGUCACUUAUGAGCUCUGUGGUCUCAGACAACCCCUUCCCCACCUGGGUUUCGGUCUGCCCAUCUGAAUGAUGGAAAUGACCACCACCCUCAUAAACACCACAGGUGAGUGUCUAAACAUCAGGCAGUGCAUGGCCUGCCCCAGGCAGCUCCCAAUAAGCAGGAGUUGGAUCUAAAGAGACUCAAGUGCUCCAGGAUGAGGGCCCAGAGUCAGAGCUGGCUGUAUUAGCAUCUUCAGCUGUUCUGAGGCCAGUAGCUCAGCAGGACAUUGGUGACACAUCUGGAUUAGGACAGCCCUGGGCUAUGGCCAGUGUCAGGGGCAUGCUUCUGUGACAAGUCAUGGUGCUGCCUGCACAGCUGCUCUCUGAGAGAACUAGAACUUAGCCUCUAGAAGGUGGGUACAGGUGGGCUGCAGAGAGGCCAAGGUGGAGCCCUGCUGAACACAGAACCUGCAGGCUUUCCUCCCUGACCCGGGUCCACUCAGGCCAGCUGCUCAGCUCCUGGGUCCUGUAGGCUGCCCCGGGAAGCCCAAGGAGAGAGCUGAAAUGUUGCUUUGUGCUCCACAGUCCUCUUCUAGGGUGGGGCCCUGGCUCUCAUGUGGUGCCUCUGUCAACUAGGAAUGUCCGCUGUGGCCUCCCUGACUACACCCUGCUCUGAGGCCACCCCCAAUACUGUCCUGCACUGCCAUUUAAGUGCCAGAUUAACAACACCCUCUUUUCUCUGGUGUCUGGUCCAGAAACGACAGCUCUUGGGGCAAGCUGGCUAGAACCUAAGUUUUCCUUGAGAAUUUGGAUUGAGGACACUGAAUCCAUUGGCUGCAGGUCAGGCUGCAAGGCUCUCUAGCAUCCUUGGUGCUGGAGUUCACAACAUAGCCAUGCACAAAUCUCAAAUAUGAAAAGCAGAAAUGAGUAGUCCUGUGGAGAGAAGAGGGAAGGCAAGAGUGGUUCUGCCCAGGAGCCCAGGGAUGAAGUUGGAGGGGCAGAAGAUACAUUGUAGUCAUUGUGAAAAGUCCCAUAAGAGAGGGAUGUAGUAAGUGCUGUGGGUCACCGAAGAGAGAACCACCAAAUCCCUGGGAUCAUUAGAGAAGUCUCCACUGAAGAGUUACCACUGAGCUGGACCUUGAAGGAGACCUAGGAGUCCAUCAGAGUAAAAAUAGAGGAAAGGUCAUCCCAGGAAGAGGGAGCAGCUUGUGCGAAGGUGUGUAGGAAUUAAGUCUAGUGUGACUUCCAGCCCCUGCUGACCUCAUUCUCUUCUGCAAUCUUGAUGCACUGACUUGGAAUGCCCACAGGUUACUGCAAUGCCCAGUAGAAAGACACUGAGUUGGUCUCUUCCGUAUCCAUGGAAGCACAUUCAUUUGGGUGGUCUCUGCCUCAGUAAACCAAGUAUUCCACCCAGGACUGUGCAGAAAGCUGAUCCCCAAGAAGAAUAGCUCCAUUGCCGUGAAGCCCCACUGUCUUGGCCCAGUUCCAGGGAUGCAAACCCCUCAUGGCAUGUCCUACCUUCUGCUCCUUCGUCUUCAGGACCAUCUGAUCCAAGCCUGCAAUCUGACCCUUCCCUCAAUGUUGACCUCAUCCAGGAAGUGCCUCUCUCCCUUCAGGAAGACCCACAUCUGAAUCACCUCAGCAUCCAGGAUCCUGCCUUGUCCCCAGCCCUCACGGUCCAAAUGCCCUGGCAGAUCUGUCCUGACCUGUUCCUAUUAAAGGGGCUCAGUUAAAGUAUAGAUUUUUGUGUACUAUUUCUGUGCCUGGCAGUAAGGCGCCGAUAAACUCUGAAAAGCCCUCCCACUGGAUCCUGCACUAAUUACAACAAACAGAAUUCUUAAUGCAUUCCUGGGCUCCCUAGAAAGUAAGAGAAAUUUCCAUGGCCAAAUGUGGCCAAAAAAAAAAAAAAG